UACGUAAGUGGCGAGCGUUAUCCGGAAUUACUGGGCGUAAAGCGUGCGUAGGCGGUUUAGUGUGUGGGAAUUGAAAGCCCGGGGCUCAACUCCGGAUCCGGUUCCCAAACUGCUAGACUUGAGCGUAUCAGAGGACAGCGGAAUUCCCGGUGUAGCGGUAAUAUGCGUAGAUAUCGGGAGGAACACCAGUGGCGAAGGCGGCUGUCUGGGGUAUUGCUGACGCUGAGGCACGAAAGCCAGGGGGGCGAACGGG
rnacentral:rRNA from 1 species